rnacentral:lncRNA from 1 species
GUGAUCUUGUCGAUUAGUGGUUGCCACUGGAGAACAGAUAGUUUCUUGGUUGAUAGUGGAACCCCUAAGUAUUUAAAAGGAAGAUCCCCACGUAUAUAACCAAGAUGAGUAAGGAUUUGUUGUUGCUGGUCAGGCUUUACUCCUCCAAAGUAUACAGCACUCUUCUGCAUAUUAGCUUUCAUUCCAGAUGCUGCAGUGAAG